GCAAACAGUGGGAAAUUUUCUACGCAGUUGUAUUUAAAUCGCUUAUUCCUUUCUUUUUAUUUUGCCUAUCUCCAGCCCCCUUUCAGAACCCUCCCCCUUUGAAACCCUAAAUUCUUCGAGACAACAUCCAUCAUUCUCUGUUCAUCUUGCUCGAAAGGUGCCAUGCUAUUUAUGUCAUAUUUUACAGAAUCAUAGGUGAUGGCAACCUCCACCUCCGUGCUCUUCUCUCGCCUCAUUAGGAGACCCCUUCCAAACCUCUGUGAACAAAUUCAAAUCGAACUGAAAUCGAAUAUGCAGUCAAUGUCUUCUUCACCUUCAAGACAUUCGAAGUUCGUAGUCUAGUGACCUUGCCAGAAGGAGAAGCCAGAGUUCAAGUCAAUGUAAUCGUUAUUGGAGACAACACUUUUGAAGGAUGUGAGCUACUAUAGUGUGGGUGAAUACUUGGCGUGGUGAUAUACUGAUACCAAAGCUUCUUCGUCAAAGAACACGGAUACUAAAGCUUCAAAUUGUAUAGGCUAUUUUGGAGAUGUUAACAAAGAGAAAAGUUACAAUUAUGUAUAUAUUGUACUGGACUAUUGUUUAAUUUAUUUAAAUUAUCUGUGGUGUAUGUCACUUGAAACUUUUGACAUGAAUGUGAAUGUUUGCGGUAUUGCGAAGAGCAAAUAAAUAUAAUUGUUUUUUUUUCUUCUUCUC